GCACCAGUGGUGUAUGGUACACACUGUCACUUCGUAAAAUGUUCGUUUAGUGAAUAGUGAUUGAAGUCCGGGGUUCGACUCCCCGCUGGUGCA